rnacentral:tRNA from 1 species
ACUAUUUUGGCAGAGAUUAUGCAAUAAAUUUAGAAUUUAUAUAUGUAAUGUAUAAUUACAAAUAGUA